AGAGUUUGAUCCUGGCUCAGAAUCAACGCUGGCGGCGCGCCUAACACAUGCAAGUCGCACGAGAAAGCCGGGGCAACCUGGUGAGUACAGUGGCGUACGGGUGAGUAACACGUGGGUUACCUACCCUCUGGUGGGGAAUAACCUUGGGAAACCGGGGCUAAUACCGCAUAAGUCCGAGAGGAGAAAGCCGAAAGGCGCCGGAGGAGGGGCCCGCGGCCGAUUAGCUAGUUGGUAGGGUGACGGCCUACCAAGGCUUUGAUCGGUAGCCGGCCUGAGAGGGCACACGGCCACACUGGCACUGAAACACGGGCCAGACUCCUACGGGAGGCAGCAGUGGGGAAUCUUGCACAAUGGGGGAAACCCUGAUGCAGCGACGCCGCGUGAGCGAUGAAGCCCUUCGGGGUGUAAAGCACUUUCGGCAGGAAAGAUUAUGACGGUACCUGCAGAAGAAGCUGCGGCUAACUACGUGCCAGCAGCCGCGGUAAUACGUAGGCAGCGAGCGUUGUUCGGAGUUACUGGGCGUAAAGAGUGUGUAGGCGGUUCGCCAAGUUCGGUGUGAAAUCUCCCGGCUCAACUGGGAGGGUGCGCCGAAUACUGGCGGGCUUGAGUGCGGGAGAGGAAAGCGGAAUUCCUGGUGUAGCGGUGAAAUGCGUAGAUAUCAGGAGGAACACCUGCGGUGUAGACAGCUUUCUGGACCGCGACUGACGCUGAGACACGAAAGCGUGGGGAGCAAACAGGAUUAGAUACCCUGGUAGUCCACGCCCUAAACGAUGCACACUUGGUGUGGGCAGUUCAUUCUG
rnacentral:rRNA from 1 species